CCAGCACCCCGAGUGGUCGGGACGAUUAUUGGGCCUAAAGCAUCCGUAGCCGGUUUUACAAGUCCUCCGUUAAAUCCAACUGCUUAACAGAUGGGCCGCGGAGGAUACUAUGAGACUAGGAGGCAGGAGAGGCAAGCGGUACUCAGUGGGUAGGGGUAAAAUCCGUUGAUCCAUUGAAGACCACCAGUGGCGAAGGCGGCUUGCCAGAAUGCGCUCGACGGUGAGGGAUGAAAGCUGGGGGAGCAAACCGGAUUAGAUACCCGGGUAGUCCCAGCUGUAAACGAUGCAGACUCGGUGAUGGACUAGCUUUAUGCUAGUCCAGUGCCGCAGGGAAGCCGUUAAGUCUGCCGCCUGGGUAGUAGGUCGCAAGACUG
rnacentral:rRNA from 1 species